UACGGAGGGUGCGAGCGUUAUUCGGAAUUAUUGGGCGUAAAGGGCGCGUAGGCGGCCCGGUAAGUCAAAGGUGAAAUCCCUCGGCUCAACUGAGGAACUGCCUUUGAAACUGUCGGGCUUGAGGCCGGGAGGGGGUAGCGGAAUUCCCAGUGUAGCGGUGAAAUGCGUAGAUAUUGGGAGGAACACCAGUGGCGAAGGCGGCUACCUGGACCGGUACUGACGCUGAUGCGCGAAAGCGUGGGUAGCAAACAGG
rnacentral:rRNA from 1 species